rnacentral:rRNA from 1 species
GACAGAGGUGCCGAGCGUUAGGCGGAAUCACUGGGCUUAAAGCGUGUGUAGGCGGGUCGUUAAGUACCUUGUGAAAUCCCCCGGCUCAACCGGGGAACUGCUGGGUAUACUGGCGAUCUUGAGCGAUCUAGGGGCAGAUGGAACAAGUGGUGGAGCGGUGAAAUGCGUAGAUAUCAGGAGGAACACCGAUGGCGAAGGCAGGUCUCUGGGCAUUAACUGACGCUGAGGAGCGAAAGCAUGGGGAGCGAACAGG